UAUUCUUGGUUUCUGGACCCCUGGGUUACACUGAGAAAACAGAACAUCGGUCUGGUUUUUCAACCACAGCCUAACCAAGCCUGAAUAGAGUUUGGAAAUCCAGAAUGGAUCUGUGUUGUGCUCUCAGGUUAUUCCCGAGUUACAUCACGAUUCCUCAGGCUUCCUGCUGUUCAGUGGGACUGAUGAACAGAUGUCUGUGGUGCCUAACAUCUCCUUGCUGAAGCUGUGACACAUAGAUAAUGUCAAUGUUUUUCAUCGUAUGUGCUUUAAUGGGCAACCUUAUAGCCUGGAUUGUGAUCAGCAGAGGCCCUCUUCCUUUGAGGAACCCCACAUACAACUAACUGAAGGCUUCUUGGGAUGCAGGAGGAAUGAUCUUGUGCUGCAGGUAUGGAAACGACUGCUCAGAUGUCCUCACACAGCAAUACAGAAGUGCAAGUGUCCCUGUUUGACAGUCCAUCACCCAAAGGCAGAGAUUCCAUCACACGUCUCACUGGCAUCUGUCCCGAAACAUACGAGCAGUGGUAGAAAUGGCACGACAUAAUUCCCAGAGCAGAGAACCUGGCUCACCUCUGGUAAUUCUUUUAAGUUUCUUCCUGUUAUUUCAGCUGAGCAAGAGACUGUAGAAAAGUGUGUUCUUCAACAUGCAGAGAACUUCAAAACGUGUAACUUUUAACAAGGGUGAGUGUUACGUCUGACUUCAGAUAAUUCAAACAAUCUUCUCACCUUUUAUUCAGACAGAAGUAUUUUAAACCUUCUGUCAAUAUUAGGUGGCUCUUUUACAGCAUAUGAUGUCAAUUUUUACCUUACUGUAGGUAUUCAGGCAUCCCUGGCAUACUUGAAAUUAUUUAAAGUUAACAGAUAAAUAUGUUUCACCCAUUAAGUCUCUGCUUCUCUAAAGUUAAUUCAAAGAAAAAAAAAAUGUUUUUUUUUUUUUUUAUCUUUGAAAAGGAAAGAUCUAGUAGUGAUUUAUGGCACGUUGGCUUCACAGUUGUGUAGGUUGCAGUAUUAUCCUUUAUUGAGGUAAAUGUUGGAUUAGAGAUGCAUUAGAGAUGGGAAUUACUGAUUUGUUUUAUGGCGUGUGAUGCUGUUGCAUACAAAGCAGUCUCAAAGAGGUACAUGAUCUGUGUUAUAAUAGAGUACAACUGCUCUCCCACACCUUCUUCUGGUAUUCCCUCUGUCCUCCUGCAUGCGUGAGACAGGUGAUUUGUUUAAAGGCUCAUGCUAUGAAAUACAAAUGACAGGAGAUAAACCAGCCAUCAGCCUGCACGUCACUUCUAGCACAAGGAUAAUCAGGUAGCCUGAACCAGUUUCUUGUCUGAUGCUUUGCUGGCAGUGAGUGGAUCCACGAUGCAGCAUGAGAAAGGUUUGCAGGACCUGGGGAUGGGCCCUUCGUUUCCCACCUGCCAGCUAACACAUUCCCUUACUUCACUGACUUCACACGCUGCCUGGGGUCCCAGCAACUCCGUUGUCUCGUCCAAGCUUGGGGGAGCUGGUUAGGAUUUUGCUCUGACUCAUGCUGUCGAGCAUCGCCUCACCUGUGU
rnacentral:lncRNA from 1 species